UCGCCUGUUUUACAAAAACAUGUCCUCUUGAUUAUAUUUUGAGGUCUGGCCUGCUCACUGAUAAAUUUAAAGAGCCGCGGUAUUUUGACCGUGCAAAGGUAGCAUAAUCAUUAGUCUUUUAAUUAAGGGCUGGAAUGAAUGGCUUGACGAGAAAUUAACUGUCUCUUAAUAAUUUAUAAAAUUUAACUUUUGAGUCAAAAGGCUUAAAUUUUUCUUUAGGACGAGAAGACCCUAUAGAGCUUAACAUAUAAUUUAUAUUUAUACAUUAGAUGGUUUUUUAUAUAUUUAAUGAUAAUGUUUUGUUGGGGUGACAUGAAGAAUCAAUAAACUCUUCAUUAUAAAAUCAUUAAUUUAUGUUUAUUCUUGAUCCAUAAUUUAUGAUCAUAAGAUUAAGUUACCUUAGGGAUAACAGCGUAAUUGUUUUUGAGAGCUCAAAUCAACAAAGCAGAUUGCGACCUCGAUGUUGGAUUAAGAAAAAUUUUGGGUGCAGUAGCUC
rnacentral:rRNA from 1 species